rnacentral:rRNA from 1 species
UACGGAGGGUGCGAGCGUUGUCCGGAUUUAUUGGGUUUAAAGGGUGCGUAGGCGGCCUUGUAAGUCUGGGGUGAAAGCCCGCUGCUCAACAGCGGAACUGCCCUGGAUACUGCCGGGCUUGAGGACAGACGAGGUUGGCGGAAUAGAAGAUGUAGCGGUGAAAUGCAUAGAUAUCUUCUAGAACCCCGAUUGCGAAGGCAGCUGACUAGACUGUAACUGACGCUGAGGCACGAAAGCGUGGGGAG